rnacentral:misc_RNA from 1 species
UGGCACGCCCGAAGUCGUUACUCCAACCCGCAAGGGAGGAGGACGCCGAAGGUGGGGCUGAUGACUGGGGUGAAGUCGUAACAAGGUAGCCGUACCGGAAGGUGCGGCUGGAUCACCUCCUAACAGGGAGACAAUAACUGAUCGUGAUGUCUGGCUAAAUUAUUGCUAGGCCAUGAUCCUGUCAUCUCGAUGGUUAAUCGGUACCUCAACCGACAAAAGCGAAGCCAAAAGCAACUCUAGCAAUAGAGAAGCCGAUGAGCUGUCGUGGAUGUCUUUUCAGUUCCUAAACUUUGUCUAGGUCACCCCGCAAGGGUAUCCCUGGGCCAUUAGCUCAGGUGGUUAG